GCAAAUUAGAGACUCAGAUAUUUUGCAAAUAAAAAUGAAAUUACACCUUGAACCAGGAUGAAAUUACAAUGUAAAGAAGACAUCUUGUAUACCCAUUCCUCUCACCCCACCACCACAUGUCAACUAAGUACACAGGACCUUGCUGAGUAAUUCAUAAGGAUAAAAAACAAUCUCGCCUACCUUCCUAUUUGGUGCUUCUUAUUUCAUUUACUGAUAGCACUGCUUUGUAAUGUUUAUGUCAUAAUGGCAGCCUUCUGAGGGCUAUGUUCUACCCUGAUGUCAUCCAUCACUGCCAAUUACAAAUACUAUGGAUAUAGCAUUACCAAGAAGGAUGUUGCUUCAGAAUGUCUCCUAUGGCCCCAAGAAUCCCAAGUUGCAGAGUGCAUAUCUGCUAAUUAGGAUGAUCACAUGGUUUACCAUCAAAACCAGAACACUCUGAGACUGAAAGAAGACAAUGUAAUAAUGACUCCAAAACAAC
rnacentral:lncRNA from 1 species